GAUGAACGCUGGCGGCGUGCCUAAUACAUGCAAGUCGAGCGAACAGACGAUGAUCUUGCUCCUCUGACGUUAGCGGCGGACGUGUGUGUAACACGUGGAUCACCUACCUAUAAGACUGGUAAAACUUCGGGAAACCGGAUCUAAUAGCGGAUAAUCUACUGAACCGCGUGGUUCAAUGGUGAGAUUCGGUUUUGCUGUCACUUCUCGAUGGAUCCGCGCUGCAUUAGCUAGUUGUUAAGGUAACGGCUUACCAAGGCAACGAUGCGUAGGCGACCUGAGAGGGUGAUCGGCCACACUGGAACUGAGACACGGUCCAGACUCCUACGGGAGGCAGCAGUAGGGAAUCUUCCGCAAUGGGCGAAAGCCUGACGGAGCAACGCCGCGUGAGUGAUGAAGGUCUUCGGAUCGUAAAACUCUGUUAUUAGGGAAGAACAAAUGUGUAAGUAACUAUGCACGUCUUGACGGUACCUAAUCAGAAAGCCACGGCUAACUACGUG
rnacentral:rRNA from 1 species